GAUGAACGCUGGCGGCGUGCCUAAUACAUGCAAGUCGAGCGAACGGACGAGAAGCUUGCUUUUCUGAUGUUAGCGGCGGACGGGUGAGUAACACGUGGAUAACCUACCUAUAAGACUGGGAUAACUUCGGGAAACCGGAGCUAAUACCGGAUAAUAUUUUGAACCGCAUGGUUCAAAAGUGAAAGACGGUCUUGCUGUCACUUAUAGAUGGAUCCGCGCUGCAUUAGCUAGUUGGUAAGGUAACGGCUUACCAAGGCAACGAUGCAUAGCCGACCUGAGAGGGUGAUGGGCAACACUGGAACUGAGGCACGGACCAGACUCCUACGGGAGGAAGAAGUGGGGAAUUUUGGAAAAUGGGCGAAAGCCUGAUGGAGCAAUGCCGCGUGUGUGAAGAAGGUGUUGGGAUUGUAAAGCUCUUUUAUGAGGAAAGAAAUUAUGGGAACGAAACCGUGCGGGUUUUGACGGUACCGAAAAAAAAAGCACCGGCUAACUACGUG
rnacentral:rRNA from 1 species